ACCUACGGGGCGCAGCAGUGGGGAAUAUUGCACAAUGGGGGAAACCCUGAUGCAGCGACGCCGCGUGAGCGAUGAAGUAUUUCGGUAUGUAAAGUUCUAUCAGCAGGGAAGAAAGUGACGGUACCUGACUAAGAAGCCCCGGCUAACUACGUGCCAGCAGCCGCGGUAAUACGUAGGGGGCAAGCGUUAUCCGGAUUUACUGGGUGUAAAGGGAGCGUAGACGGCGGCGCAAGCCAGAUGUGAAAGCCCGGGGCUCAACCCCGGGACUGCAUUUGGAACUGUGCUGCUAGAGUGUCGGAGAGGCA
rnacentral:rRNA from 1 species